GAUGAACGCUGGCGGCGUGCCUAAUACAUGCAAGUCGAGCGAACGGACGAGAAGCUUGCUUCUCUGAUGUUAGCGGCGGACGGGUGAGUAACACGUGGAUAACCUACCUAUAAGACUGGGAUAACUUCGGGAAACCGGAGCUAAUACCGGAUAAUAUUUUGAACCGCAUGGUUCAAAAGUGAAAGACGGUCUUGCUGUCACUUAUAGCUGGAUCCGCGCUGCAUUAGCUAGUUGGUAAGGUAACGGCUUACCAAGGCAACGAUGCAUAGCCGACCUGAGAGGGUGAUCGGCCACACUGGAACUGAGACACGGUCCAGACUCCUACGGGAGGCAGCAGUAGGGAAUCUUCCGCAAUGGGCGAAAGCCUGACGGAGCAACGCCGCGUGAGUGAUGAAGGUCUUCGGAUCGUAAAACUCUGUUAUUAGGGAAGAACAUAUGUGUAAGUAACUGUGCACAUCUCGACGGUACCUAAUCAGAAAGCCACGGCUAACUACGUG
rnacentral:rRNA from 1 species